CCUACGGGAGGCAGCAGUGAGGAAUAUUGGUCAAUGGACGAGAGUCUGAACCAGCCAAGUAGCGUGAAGGAUGACUGCCCUAUGGGUUGUAAACUUCUUUUAUAUGGGAAUAAAAUGUUCCACGUGUGGGAUUUUGUAUGUACCAUAUGAAUAAGGCUCGGCUAACUCCGUGCCAGCAGCCGCGGUAAUACGGAGGAUCCGAGCGUUAUCCGGAUUUAUUGGGUUUAAAGGGAGCGUAGGUGGAUUGUUAAGUCAGGUGUGAAAGUUUGCGGCGCAAACGUAAAAUUGCAGUUGAAACUGGCAGUCUUGAGUACAGUAGAGGUGGGCGGAAUUCGUGGUGUAGCGGUGAAAUGCUUAGAUAUCACGAAGAACUCCGAUUGCGAAGGCAGUUCACUGGACUGCAACUGACACUGAGGCUCGAAAGUGUGGGUAUCAAACAGGAUUAGAUACCCCUGUAGUC
rnacentral:rRNA from 1 species